GUCCAGCUGACGGUUCCCAACUAGGACGAAACGCGCGUCCCGGAU
rnacentral:hammerhead_ribozyme from 1 species